CAACAUAAUUCGUGUUUAUCAACAGAAGGUCUACAACAUAGUAUAUCACCGUCUCAAUACUAUGGCAUGACUGACUAUGUGACGUAUCCGAGUGCUCAGAGUGGGACGAAACGAACUCCAUGCCUCGUUCAUGUCCGCAGCACACGCCACGAAACCGACGAAGGCCGUGAAGCCAAACGUACGUGCCAACUGUUCUCAUCCGACGAACGGAAUUGACAUUGUGAAGCCGAGCAAUUACGGUAGUCAUGACUACCAACUGUCACAAUGCGGGGCGUAGUACCUCCCGUGUCUGCCCCUGUGUCGUGUUCUCAGACAGGCGGCUUGCAGCAUGCGAACGGGCUCUCGUCGCCACCCGGUCUGUUCUACCCAACUUACCCGAACGAGGACCUGCUGAAGGAUCUCGAAGAUUACAUUGCUGCCGAAAUGUUUACGUCAGGAUCAGCACAAAUGGAUCCUGUGACUGCGAGUGCUGCCGCUCCUGGUUACGUGAGCUCUACCAGGUCCUCGUAGUCGAGACCGAGCUGCUACCAUCCUGUCGUCAGGCAGUCGUGUGUCAUGUACUUGUAGAUGAAUGUAGAUUAGAUGAGCAAGCUAUAGAACGUUCAGGCAUAUCGAGAGAGACUAUCAAACGCCAUCACGUUGUGAUGUUUUAGCUAUCACGAGAAUGGACCCUCUCUUGUGCACAUUUUUUGAUUGUGUUGAUGCAGACUGUCAGUGGAGACCGGUCUACUGGUGCAGCCGACUGGUUUUCCUAUUGAUAGAUUCAAUAGCAUGUUUUAUAGCGUUGUGGCUGUCUGUAUUUUGCGAUUCAAUUUUGAUUAUAAUUUUACUUGCAUAUAACAGCA